GCAGUUUGAAACUGCACUAGAAUGAAGCAGGGCUGCACAUCUACGGCCCUCUUUCCUACGGUUCUUCUUCUUUUAUCUAAUGGAGGCACACUGUGAAAGCUGAAAUACUUUCCAUCCAGUAUUAUGAAUGCAAAGCGAACCCCACGGACAAAAAAAUACACGAAAAGGACUGCAGCGGACUUUUUUUCUGGUACUUUAAUGAAGGUUUAAGUUGGCCUUUCGACCUCGCUGCAGAAACGUUUGUUCCCUCCUACUACGAAGGACUAAAGCCUCGCAUGAUCAAGUUUGAUGUAAACGGUCUCGAAAAGGAGAUUCCAACAAUGUCGUGGGGUCACCAAACUGCUGUUAAAGGCACAAAGAAGUAC